rnacentral:rRNA from 1 species
AUUGAACGCUGGCGGCAGGCUUAACACAUGCAAGUCGAACGAGUGGCGGACGGGUGAGUAAUGCUUGGGAAUCUAGCUUAUGGAGGGGGAUAACUACGGGAAACUGUAGCUAAUACCGCGUACCAUAGGAUGAGCCCAAGUGGGAUUAGGUAGUUGGUGGGGUAAAGGCUAACCAAGCCGACGAUCUCUAGCUGGUCUGAGUUGAUGACCAGCAAAACGGGGACUUAGACACGGCCAGGAAUCCAACGGGAGGAAGCAGUGGGUAAUAUUGCGCAAUGGGGGCAACCUGACGCAGCCAUGCGGCGGGAAUGAAGAAGGCCUUCGGGUUUUAAGGUUCUUUCGGUAGCGAGGCGUUAACUACAGAAGAAGCACCGGCUAACUCCGUGCCAGCAGCCGCGGUAAUAC